rnacentral:rRNA from 1 species
UGAUCCAGCCAUUCCGCGUGAGUGAAGAAGGCCUUCGGGUUGUAAAGCUCUUUCAGCUGGAACGAAACGGACCGUCCUAAUACGGUGUGCUAAUGACGGUACCGGGAGAAGAAGCACCGGCUAACUACGUGCCAGCAGCCGCGGUAAUACGUAGGGUGCGAGCGUUAAUCGGAAUUACUGGGCGUAAAGCGUGCGCAGGCGGAUUGUUAAGCCAGAUGUGAAAUCCCCGGGCUGAACCUGGGAAUGGCAUUUUGAACUGGCGGACUAGAGUGUGUCAGAGGGGGGUGGAAUUCCACGUGUAGCAGUGAAAUGCGUAAAGAUGUGGAGGAACACCGAUGGCGAAGGCAGCCCCCUGGGAUGACACUGACGCUCAUGUACGAAAGCGUGGGUAGCAAACAGGAUUAAAUACCCUGGUAGUCCACGCCCUAAACGAUGUCAACUGGUUGUUGGGGGAGUGAAAUCCCUUACUAACGAAGCUAACGCGUGAAGUUGACCGCCUGGGGAGUACGGUCGCAAGAUUAAAACUCAAAGGAAUUGACGG